AACGAACGCUGGCGGCAUGCCUAACACAUGCAAGUCGAACGAGACCUUCGGGUCUAGUGGCGCACGGGUGCGUAACGCGUGGGAAUCUGCCCUUAGGUUCGGGAUAACUCAGGGAAACUUGAGCUAAUACCGGAUGAUGUCUUCGGACCAAAGAUUUAUCGCCUAAGGAUGAGCCCGCGUAGGAUUAGCUUGUUGGUGAGGUAAAAGCUCACCGAGGCGACGAUCCUUAGCUGGUCUGAGAGGAUGAUCAGCCACACUGGGACUGAGACACGGCCCAGACUCCUACGGGAGGCAGCAGUGGGGAAUAUUGGACAAUGGGCGAAAGCCUGAUCCAGCAAUGCCGCGUGAGUGAUGAAGGCCCUGGGGUUGUAAAGCUCUUUUACCCGGGAUGAUAAUGACAGUACCGGGAGAAUAAGCCCCGGCUAACUCCGUGUCAGCAGCCGCCGCUG
rnacentral:rRNA from 1 species